ensembl:lincRNA
CUGAGUCUUGAUCCACCAGAAGGCUUUCUGUACAUCAGCCAGUUUGCAUGAUGAAGAUUUGGGUCUCGGAAUUCUCCUGUAUGCUUAUGAUUCUUACCAUCAACUUGUUUCCUUGGUAACCCACUCCUGCUAUCUUGAUGAUGGCUUCCUGGGGUCAGGAGAGGUUCCUGAGAGCUGGACUUUUGGCUGGAGCCUUGACCCCACUUUUCCUGAUGAAUGACCUUUAGAGGUGGCUCCAGGUCUGAGGACUAGAGAGCAGAGUGGACACGAGGCUCACCAUGUAGAAAUGUCAUCUUGUAAAGACCUUCUACGACUUCCAGGACCUUGUAUGGGUACCCGUACCAUGGGCAUGCAGCCUGGGGAUGUGUGCUGCAUGUCAGAUAUUUUUCUGAACCACAACCAUGGUGUUUUCGGCUCCAGCACGCAUCACAGGAAGACUUCUGGCCAGGGCAACGUGACACAAACACAUUCAGAGCAGUCUGUUGCUGGCAAAGGGUGGAAUCACAUGCCUACUAUGUGCCAGGUGCUGCCAGAUCAGUAUCUGGCUUCCUUGAUCUACAGACUAAGGUCUCGUCUGAAAGGGGUGUUCUUCAGGAGAUAACGUCCAACACAUUGGAUGUGGAUCCAAGACUUCAAAGAAAACCUAUAAACUUAAUAAAGUUUCUCCUGAAACCUACAACAAAGAAAACAAUGACAAAGGAAUUGCCCACAAUUCUGUGACUCCAAGUGAAUACCACGGAAGAGAUGGCCGCACUGGGCUCUCCUACCAGUUUUUAGAAUUGUGAGACAAUCCAGCAGUAGAAAGAAAACUAAGAAAAUCAACUCUCCGGGCUGCUAUCUGCCUGUUUCAAGCCUGAGAUUUUGUAGAAAUCUAUUUUAUAGAAUCAGCAGAAGCAAGCCAAUAAUGUCUUUAUGCAAUCUACUUGAAAGCAAAAAUAACAAAGAUGCCAGUCAAUACUUUGCAAAUGAUGUUUAUACUAGCCUGAGACUCAUUGUUUGCCAGUGUUUAUUAAUACAACUAAAUAAGAAAUCCUCUCCUCUUAAAGGGAGCACAGAGCUGAUUUCAUGUUGAAGAAAUGCCCACAGUAGUCACAGUACAACUUUCAGAGGACUAAGUCAUCUUUUCUCACAUGCUGAGUCCUGACAUCUAAUGAUCAGCUAACACCAUUUCUGAUGUUUUAGCAUAGAAAGCUUUAUUAUCUUAACACUGGAUGCUAAUAAGACAUUGUUAAUUUCUAAAACAAACAAACAAACAUGGACCUAAAACUUGACUUCCUUAAGAAAUAAAAACACUUUCCUUGAACGCCACAGACUGUACAGAGUGCAAAGUGCUAGCAAAUGAUAAGCAUUCCCUUAUAAAUAUCAAGAUCAAUAUUGAAGUAGCUCAGGAUUGUACUUGACAGGAUUUGAGCUUUAUUGGUAGGAAUCUUAAGGUCUCCCACAGUGGUUUUUGGUGUUGAUAAAGUUGGCAUUUAUUUACGAUUUGAGUUCUUGCCUGGGGGCUGCAGUCAGAAGCAGCAGGAUUUUGUUUAAAGCCAAAGACUUCCUUCAUCCUCAGAAAGCAAGCAAGGAGCUGUGUUUCCUCUCCUCAUUUGUCCUGCAACUGUGAAUUUGUCUCUGGAGCUCUGUUCUGUUGACUUUAGAGAAGCUAUGCAUACACUUGGU